CAGUAGCCACGGGAAUACGAAGGGGGCUAGCGUUGCUCGGAAUCACUGGGCGUAAAGGGUGCGUAGGCGGGUCUUUAAGUCAGGGGUGAAAUCCUGGAGCUCAACUCCAGAACUGCCUUUGAUACUGAAGAUCUUGAGUUCGGGAGAGGUGAGUGGAACUGCGAGUGUAGAGGUGAAAUUCGUAGAUAUUCGCAAGAACACCAGUGGCAAAGGCGGCUCACUGGCCCGAUACUGACGCUGAGGCACGAAAGCGUGGGGAGCAAACAGGAUUAGAUACCCCCGUAGUCCCUGUCUCUUAUAC
rnacentral:rRNA from 1 species